AGUAAAUAAAUAUAAAUAGGGAUUAAUACCGUGGCUUUUUUAAUUCGAAUAAUUGUAGAUUGAUUGAAUCAGAAACUCCUCACACACAUUUUUCUGAUA
rnacentral:misc_RNA from 1 species